rnacentral:rRNA from 1 species
GACGAACGCUGGCGGCGUGCUUAACACAUGCAAGUCGAACGGAAAGGCCCUGCUUGCAGGGUACUCGAGUGGCGAACGGGUGAGUAACACGUGGGUGAUAUGCCCUGCACUUCGGGAUAAGCCUGGGAAACUGGGUCUAAUACAGGAUAGGAGCCAUUUUUAGUGUGAUGGUUGGAAAGUUUUUUCGGUGGAGGAUGAGCGCGCGGGCUAUGGGCUUGUUGGUGGGGUAGGGGCCUACCAAGGCUGCGGCGGGUAGCCGGCCUGAGAGGGGGGACGGCCACAUGGGUACUGAGAGACGGCCCAGUCUCGUACGGGAGGCAGCGGUGGGGAAUAUUACACAGUGGGGGGGAGCGUGAUGCGGCGACGCCGCGUGCGGAAUAACAGGCUACGGGUUGUAAACAGCUUUGGCAGGAGAUGAAGAGUGAGUGGGGGUAAUGGGUAAAGAAGCAACGGCUAACUACGUG